ACGAACGCUGGCGGCGUGCUUAACGCAUGCAAGUCGAACGGAAAGGCCCUGCUUUUGUGGGGUGCUCGAGUGGCGAACGGGUGAGUAACACGUGAGUAACCUGCCCUUGACUUUGGGAUAACUUCAGGAAACUGGGGCUAAUACCGGAUAGGAGCUCCUGCUGCAUGGUGGGGGUUGGAAAGUUUCGGCGGUUGGGGAUGGACUCGCGGCUUAUCAGCUUGUUGGUGGGGUAGUGGCUUACCAAGGCUUUGACGGGUAGCCGGCCUGAGAGGGUGACCGGCCACAUUGGGACUGGGAUACGGCCCAGACUCCUACGGGAGGCAGCAGUGGGGAAUAUUGCACAAUGGGCGGAAGCCUGAUGCAGCAACGCCGCGUGCGGGAUGACGGCCUUCGGGUUGUAAACCGCUUUCGCCUGUGACGAAGCGUGAGUGACGGUAAUGGGUAAAGAAGCACCGGCUAACUACGUG
rnacentral:rRNA from 1 species